rnacentral:misc_RNA from 1 species
CUUCUUCCUAAUCACAGCCUCCGUCAUCUCUGUGUGUAUCGCUGUGCCUGUGAAUUAGUUUCAAAUUUGAUGGGUCUCCACGAACAAGGUGAAAUGAAGAAGCAGAAAGACGAUGGAAAUAACUCAAAUCCGGUGGUGCUGAAUGUAGCGUAUCGUGUGCUUGGUUGAGGUUCCGUUGAGGCACGUGUUUGUCAAAUCUGCGAUGGUGGUUUGGCCAAU